ACAGAGGCCUCGAGCGUUAGGCGGAAUCACUGGGCUUAAAGCGUGUGUAGGCGGGCCCGUCAGUGUCUUGUGAAAUCCCACGGCUCAACCGUGGAACUGCUUGGUAUACUGCUUAUCUUGGGCCAUCUAGGGGCUACCGGAACAAGUGGUGGAGCGGUGAAAUGCGUAGAUAUCACUUGGAACGCCAAUGGUGAAAACAGGUAGCUGGGGAUGUGCUGACGCUGAGACACGAAAGCCAGGGGAGCAAACGGGA
rnacentral:rRNA from 1 species